GCGGGGUGGAGCAGUGGUAGCUCGUCGGGCUCAUAACCCGAAGGUCACAGGUUCAAGUCCUGUCCCCGC
rnacentral:tRNA from 1 species